rnacentral:ncRNA from 1 species
CUUAUCAAGAGUGAUGGAGGGACUUGGCCCUAUGAUAUCCGGCAACCGGCAAAUGCAUGGUGCUAAAUCCAACAGUUUGUCAGGUGACUGAAAGAUAAGG